GUCCACGCCGUAAACGAUGUGUGUUUGUCGCUGGGGAGUUUACUCUUCGGUGACGGAGCUAACGCGUUAAGCACACCGCCUGGGAAGUACGGUCGCAAGAUUAAAACUCAAAGGAAUUGACGGGGACCCGCACAAGCGGUGGAGUAUGUGGUUUAAUUCGUCGCAACGCGAAGAACCUUACCAGGCCUUGACAUGCCCUCUAUGGGCUCCAGAGACGGAGCUCUUCACUUCGGGUGGGAGGGACACAGGUGCUGCAUGGCUGUCGU
rnacentral:rRNA from 1 species